rnacentral:rRNA from 1 species
AGUGAACGCUGGCGGUAGGCCUAACACAUGCAAGUCGAACGGCAGCACAGGAGAGCUUGCUCUCUGGGUGGCGAGUGGCGGACGGGUGAGGAAUACAUCGGAAUCUACCUUUUCGUGGGGGAUAACGUAGGGAAACUUACGCUAAUACCGCAUACGACCUACGGGUGAAAGUGGGGGACCGCAAGGCCUCACGCGAUUAGAUGAGCCGAUGUCCGAUUAGCUAGUUGGCGGGGUAAUGGCCCACCAAGGCGACGAUCGGUAGCUGGUCUGAGGGGAUGAUCAGCCACACUGGAACAGAGACACGGUCCAGACUCCUACGGGGGGCAGCAGUGGGGAAUAUUGGACAAUGGGCGCAAGCCUGAUCCAGCCAUACCGCGUGGGUGAAGAAGGCCUUCGGGUUGUAAAGCCCUUUUGUUGGGAAAGAAAUCCUGUCGAUUAAUACUCGGUGGGGAUGACGGUACCCAAAGAAUAAGCACCGGCUAACUUCGUGCCAGCCGCCGCAGUAA